GUGAACGCUGGCGGUAGGCCUAACACAUGCAAGUCGAACGGCAGCACAGUAAGAGCUUGCUCUUACGGGUGGCGAGUGGCGGACGGGUGAGGAAUGCAUCGGAAUCUACUUUUUCGUGGGGGAUAACGUAGGGAAACUUACGCUAAUACCGCAUACGACCUACGGGUGAAAGCAGGGGAUCUUCGGACCUUGCGCGAUUGAAUGAGCCGAUGUCGGAUUAGCUAGUUGGCGGGGUAAAGGCCCACCAAGGCGACGAUCCGUAGCUGGUCUGAGAGGAUGAUCAGCCACACUGGAACUGAGACACGGUCCAGACUCCUACGGGAGGCAGCAGUGGGGAAUAUUGGACAAUGGGCGCAAGCCUGAUCCAGCCAUACCGCGUGGGUGAAGAAGGCCUUCGGGUUGUAAAGCCCUUUUGUUGGGAAAGAAAAGCAGCAGGUUAAUACCCCGCUGUUCUGACGGUACCCAAAGAAUAAGCACCGGCUAACUUCGUG
rnacentral:rRNA from 1 species